rnacentral:rRNA from 1 species
UUCUGUGGUUACAUAUAAAAGUCCUCUGAUCUCGGAAGCUAAGCAGGGUCAGGCCUGGUUAGUACUUGGUUGGGAGACCACCUAGGAAGACCAGGUGCUGUAGGCA